rnacentral:rRNA from 1 species
UAUUGGACAAUGGGGGCAACCCUGAUCCAGCCAUGCCGCGUGAGUGAAGAAGGCCUUCGGGUUGUAAAGCUCUUUCGGACGGAACGAAAUGGGCGGGACUAAUACUCCUGUCUGAUGACGGUACCGUAAGAGGAAGCACCGGCUAACUACGUGCCAGCAGCCGCGGUAAUACGUAGGGUGCGAGCGUUAAUCGGAAUUACUGGGCGUAAAGCGUGCGCAGGCGGUUUCGUAAGCUGGAGGUGGAAUCCCCGGGCUUAACCUGGGAAUGGCCUUCAGGACUGCGAGGCUAGAGUGCGGCAGAGGGAGGUGGAAUUCCACGUGUAGCAGUGAAAUGCGUAGAGAUGUGGAGGAACACCGACGGCGAAGGCAGCCUCCUGGGCCAGCACUGACGCUCAUGCACGAAA